rnacentral:rRNA from 1 species
UUGGACAAUGGGCGAAAGCCUGAUCCAGCAAUGCCGCGUGAGUGAUGAAGGCCUUCGGGUUGUAAAGCUCUUUUACCCGGGAAGAAAAUGACAGUACCGGGAGAAUAAGCUCCGGCUAACUCCGUGCCAGCAGCCCCGGUAAUACGGAGGGAGCUA